rnacentral:rRNA from 1 species
UACGGAGGGUGCGAGCGUUGUCCGGAAUCACUGGGCGUAAAGGGCGCGUAGGUGGCGCAGGAAGUCAACGGUGAAAGUUCGGGGCUCAACCCUGAAUCGACCGUCGAUACUCCUGGGCUCGAGCACUGUAGAGGCAGAUGGAAUUCCGGGUGUAGCGGUGGAAUGCGUAGAGAUCCGGAAGAACACCGGUGGCGAAGGCG